GUCCCUAUCGUCUAGCCCGGUUAGGACAUAAGAUUUUCAUUCUUACGACCGGGGUUCGAAUCCCCGUGGGGACG
rnacentral:tRNA from 1 species